rnacentral:rRNA from 1 species
GACGAACCGUGCAAACGUUGUUCGGAAUCACUGGGCUUAAAGGGCGCGUAGGCGGGCUCGCCAGUCUGUGGUGAAAGCCCCCGGCUUAACCGGGGAAGUGCCAUGGAUACUGCGAGCCUCGAGGAGGGUAGGGGCAUCUGGAACAGCCGGUGGAGCGGUGAAAUGCGUUGAUAUCGGCUGGAACUCCGGUGGCGAAGGCGAGGUGCUGGCCCCUUUCUGACGCUGAGGCGCGAAAGCCAGGGGAGCAAACGGG